rfam:Endozoicomonas sp. S-B4-1T isolate SB41TT1 genome assembly, contig: SB41TT_contig_1
CGGGGUGGCUGUUAAUAUGCGCGGCUAUUCCCUUGAUUGAUGCAUAUUUUUAAUAGGAGUUACACAAUGUCUCUGACUGUAGAGCAAAAGGCUGAAAUCGUAGCCAAGUACGCCCGUGGCGAG